UGGGGAAUUUUGGACAAUGGGGGAAACCCUGAUCCAGCCAUCCCGCGUGUGCGAUGAAGGCCUUCGGGUUGUAAAGCACUUUUGUCCGGAAAGAAAUGGCUCUGGUUAAUACCUGGGGUCGAUGACGGUACCGGAAGAAUAAGGACCGGCUAACUACGUGCCAGCAGCCGCGGUAAUACGUAGGGUCCAAGCGUUAAUCGGAAUUACUGGGCGUAAAGCGUGCGCAGGCGGUUGUGCAAGACCGAUGUGAAAUCCCCGAGCUUAACUUGGGAAUUGCAUUGGUGACUGCACGGCUAGAGUGUGUCAGAGGGGGGUAGAAUUCCACGUGUAGCAGUGAAAUGCGUAGAGAUGUGGAGGAAUACCGAUGGCGAAGGCAGCCCCCUGGGAUAACACUGACGCUCAUGCACGAAAGCGUGGGGAGCAAACAGGAUUAGAUACCCUGGUAGUCCACGCCCUAAACGAUGUCAACUAGUUGUUGGGGAUUCAUUUCCUUAGUAACGUAGCUAACGCGUGAAGUUGACCGCCUGGGGAGUACGGUCGCAAGAUUAAAAGCUC
rnacentral:rRNA from 1 species